rnacentral:tRNA from 1 species
GGUUGGAGAGAUGGCUCAGUGGUUAAGAGCACUGACUGUUCUUCCAGAGGUCCUGAGUUCAAUUCCCAGCAACCA